rnacentral:lncRNA from 1 species
UUAAUUACAAGUGUGCUCCUGGUGGUCUUUAACUGAAGGGCACUGACUGGGUCACUGGUGAAGUUCCCCGCAGGAACUGAGUCAGACCCCAUCUCAGGGCCCCGCACAAGAUAGGUGCCUGCACUAAGGCGUGGACCCUCGCGACAGCCCUGGCCCGUCUUGACGGGCGAGGGUUACUGUACUUGUCCCAACCGUACAGAUGAGAAAGCUGAGACUCAGGGCGAGCAACCCGGGUCCCAGCGGAGCGCCGGGCACGCGCCGACACUUCCGCACCAGUCGCGGUGGCCACCACUGUGCGCGGAGAUGGCUGCGACGCGUGCGCAGGUGAAAUGGCCACCAGACCCAGGCUUUCUGGAAUGCAUUCAUUUUCUGCAGUUGAAAGGGACGAUCCCGGAUCUGAAAGAAAGAGCCACAGUGACUCCAAGAGUGGAGCCAGGGCAUGCUGGACACUGCAUAGCUAUGGCCACGUGUGUCACCUCCGAGGGAGAUGUGAGAGAAACGCAGAGGGAUCGCUUGUGACUGUGCCUUCUCGAUGUAUGAUGGACUGUUCUGCUCAAAUAGCAGCAGUAGGGCUGACUGGAGCCAUUGUGCAGUGUCGGGAACAUACCAGCACACCGAGAAUAGCGUCAUGUCAUAAGGACUCAGAGCAGGUGGACCCUGCUGUGAUGCACAAAGGUGAGGGUGCAGCUGCCCAGGACACACUCAUGCAUGUUUGUGUGGACCAUGGAAGAUGGCAGGGGAAGAGCUGUCAGGUUGUUGGGGCAGAGGGUGCGCAUGAGUACUCGCCUAGGACCACGCAAGAUAUGAUAAAGAUCUACGUCACUGAAUUUUGGUUCCAUUUUUGUAUCUCAGCUUCCCGGAAAUAAAAAAGAAUUCUAACAUUC